AAGUCGUAACAAGGUUUCCGGUGAACCUGCGGAAGGGUCAUUGGAGAAUUGUACCUGUACCAAAAGCAUGGACAAUCCAUCCUUAUCCCACCUUGUGUGCACGCAUUGAAACCAUGCUUUGGGAGGUUUCUCCUUUGUUGGAAUUGGAGAUCCUCAAGCCUCCCAAGGUUGUUCUCCUCGUAACACCUUUUCCUGAAAAAUCAAACAUAAUAAAAAAAAAAAAAAUACAGCAUUCAACAACGGAUCUCUUGGCUCUC
rnacentral:misc_RNA from 1 species